CCAAAGGGGGAUGCCUCAGGUAGCGGCGAGUGAAGCGGCAAAAGCUCAAAUUUGAAAUCUGGCGUCUUUGGCGUCCGAGUUGUAAUUUGAAGAAGGUAUCUUUGGGCCCGGCUCUUGUCUAUGUUCCUUGGAACAGGACGUCACAGAGGGUGAGAAUCCCGUGCGAUGAGAUGACCCGGGUCUGUGUAAAGUUCCUUCGACGAGUCGAGUUGUUUGGGAAUGCAGCUCUAAGUGGGUGGUAAAUUCCAUCUAAAGCUAAAUAUUGGCGAGAGACCGAUAGCGAACAAGUACAGUGAUGGAAAGAUGAAAAGAACUUUGAAAAGAGAGUGAAAAAGUACGUGAAAUUGUUGAAAGGGAAGGGCUUGAGAUCAGACUUGGUAUUUUGCAUGCUGCUCUCUCGGGGGCGGCCGCUGCGGUUUACCGGGCCAGCAUCGGUUUGGAGCGGCAGGAUAAUGGCGGAGGAAUGUGGCACGGCUUCUGCUGUGUGUUAUAGCCUCUGACGAUGCUGCCAGCCUAGACCGAGGACUGCGGUUUUUAACCUAGGAUGUUGGCAUAAUGAUCUUAAGUCGCCCGUCUUGAACCACGGACCCA
rnacentral:rRNA from 1 species